rnacentral:rRNA from 1 species
GCUGCAUGGCUGUCGUCAGCUCGUGUCGUGAGAUGUUGGGUUAAGUCCCGCAACGAGCGCAACCCUCACUUUUAGUUGCCAUCGUUUAGUUGGGCACUCUGAAAGAACUGCCAGUGAUAAGCUGGAGGAAGGUGGGGAUGACGUCAAGUCCUCAUGGCCCUUACGUGUUGGGCUACACACGUGCUACAAUGGCAUUUACAACAGGAAGCAAAACGGCGACGUUAAGCAAAUCCUAAAAAAAUGCCUCAGUUCGGAUUGUACUCUGCAACUCGAGUACAUGAAGCUGGAAUUAGCUAGUAAUCGCGGAUCAGCGCGCCGCGGUGAAUACGUUCCCGGGUCUUGUACACACG